rnacentral:rRNA from 1 species
UGGAUUGGUUGCCUUCGGGAAACUCGUGACUACGGAGGUGCGUGGCAUGGCGUUGUCGUCAGCUCGUGUCGUGAGAUGUUGGGUUAAGUCCCGUAACGAGCGCAACCCUUGUCCUUAGUUACCAGCACGUUAUGGUGGGCACUCUAAGGAGACUGCCGGUGACAAACCGGAGGAAGGUGGGGAUGACGUCAAGUCAUCAUGGCCCUUACGGCCUGGGCUACACACGUGCUACAAUGGUCGGUACAAAGGGUUGCCAAGCCGCGAGGUGGAGCUAAUCCCAUAAAACCGAUCGUAGUCCGGAUCGCAGUCUGCAACUCGACUGCGUGAAGUCGGAAUCGCUAGUAAUCGUGAAUCAGAAUGUCACGGUGAAUACGUUCCCGGGCCUU